rnacentral:rRNA from 1 species
GACGAACGCUGGCGGCGUGCUUAACACAUGCAAGUCGAACGAUGAACCGGAGCUUGCUCUGGGGAUUAGUGGCGAACGGGUGAGUAACACGUGGGCAACCUGCCCCAGACACCGGGAUAACCAUUCGAAAGGAUGGCUAAUACCGGAUACGACCACUUCGGGCAUCCGACGGUGGUGGAAAGGAUUCUGGUCUGGGAUGGGCCCGCGGCCUAUCAGCUGGUUGGUGGGGUAAUGGCCUACCAAGGCGACGACGGGUAGCCGGCCUGAGAGGGCGACCGGCCACCCUGGGACGGAGACACGGCCCAGACUCCUACGGGAGGCAGCAGUGGGGAAUAUUGCGCAAUGGGCGAAAGCCUGACGCAGCGACGCCGCGUGAGGGACGAAGGUCUUCGGAUUGUAAACCUCUUUCAGCAGGGAUGAAGCGAAAGUGACAGUACCUGCAGAAGAAGCACCGGCUAACUACGUGCCAGCCGCCGCAGUAAGAC